CAGAAGUGAGGAUGAGACAGUAUACAGGAGAAUGGCCAGUGCUAAAGCCCAGAGACAAGAUAUGGAAUGAGGUGUGUGAGAAACAUCCAUAUGGCUAGUUUAUCUGGACUAUAGAUCACAGGAAGGGAAGAAAUGUAUACUAGAAGAUAAUAAUGGGCCCAUGUGUUGCAGACAUUGCCCUUUGGAUACAGAAUUAUCAGUAUAGACAGGCAUUGGAAGAAGUUGGGGAAGAAGAUGACUUCCCUUGAGAUUUUCCCAGCAUGGGUUUUCUGCUCGAAAAUAUGGAACA